AAACAAACAAAAACAAAAAGAGAAAACUCUGGUAUACACGGGUUAAAAACUACAAUAUAGACCAAAGGAAAAGAAAAUGAUAGAGGACCAAGAAAACGCUUUAUAACAUGACAUUAAAUGAAUAACUCAUAUGCACGACUAGAUGUGCCACUUUAUUACCUACUAUUGAUAUACUUUAGUAAAAUAUUUAUACCAUUAUACAUGUGCAUAUAUCAAGUGAAUUUGUUUUGUGUGCAUCAGUUUCAGUCAUGUUGUAAAUUCACCAAAUUACCCGCAGUGAAAAUUUUAAUCAAUUAAUUAGAA